GCGACUAUGGCGAAGUGGUUAACGCACCAGAUUGUGGCUCUGGCAUGCGUGGGUUCGAUUCCACUAGUCGCC
rnacentral:tRNA from 1 species